UGUAAGCUGUGCUGUGUGUUGUGAGUUCGGCUUUAACCAGGUACAAGUGAACGCCUCAUGAAAUGGCUUACACCCACAUACCCAGUAAAUUACACACUUUGAUGUUCUGCUCCUUCUCCUGACGGUCACGGUAACGAUGUCUGCGCCUCCGUUUCUGUGGAUGUCCAGCGUAAGACACAACUUGAAUCCAACCAGACUGAACACUGACUCCAGGGACGGACGAGCCUGAAGGACACAGCUGUGAUGACCAAUUGACCAAGUUUUGUCUCUUAUGGCAAAGCAGAAAUAUUAAACACUGGGUUCUUAUCUAAAGUGUAUCAAAUCAGAAAGCAAAAGAUACACAUUGUUGUUAUAAGUUUUUAUUAUUUUAACCAACCAUAAUGAAGAUAGAAAUGAAUUCUUAUCCAUGCCACUUAGCAAUGACUGCCACCACCAAACAGUUGCAGGCCAUCUUUAUUUAAGGGAGGAAUUUAGAAGUGUUGUGUAGCUUCUGAUGAUGAUGCAGUCGUCCACGUGUUGACCACCAUGUUGCUGCUGACGACGUCAGGUGCUGCAGUUCCUCAUCUAUGAAGAGAAGAAACGCACAGUUAAAGAAUGUUUUGAGUUGUGUAUGAAGCACAACAGAUUUCAGAUAGAACCGUUGUACUGUGGUCUGGGUUUGUAUCCUAAUGGUUAAAUGCACAUAUUUUAAGUCGCUUUUGAUAAAAGUACUGAAAGAAAUACAACAUUGUAAAAAUAGAUAAAAUGUCUUUCUACCUCAUCUGUAAUAUUCAAGGUGAUAAUCUCCCACAGAGCUAUUGAUAACAGUCCACAUCAAGUCUCUCCACUUCCCUCAGUGUGAAAACAUAAUUAUAUAAUUAAUGUGAGAACUGUUUACAACACUGAUGUGUGGACAUUAUAAUCUUAUCUAUACUGUCUAAUUGACUCUACAACUCUAUGACAGACUAAAUUAACGAUGUGAAAAUAGUAAUGGUGGAUAUAUCAGCCUGUAUCAGAAUAAUGGUGAAACAUAGUUAUUAUCACAUGCAACUUACACAUGUAGCUGUUGAUAUUAACUUAUUAAAAUAAAACAAAGUCACAGCCAAACAUACGACUCUGCAGUUAACUUGCUUCAAUGUGUUCAUUAGACGUGUUAAAUAAACUAACUUUUAUAACAAUUUUAUAUUAAAAAAGCCUUGAGGCAUGUAAGUAUAUGGUGCUAGUUAAAGCAAUAGGUUUGGUUGUAUGGUUUCAAGGUUACUUACCUCUAGUUCAUAGAGCCUCCUGCUGGCUACAGGAAGUGAAGCAAUAAUCCUUGCCGCAGUGCACAAACGCAUGCAACGCAGAGACGAGCGCUUGGUCAUUGAACGUUCUCUCUUCACCGACCGCAACAGAAUAGAAAUUGCCUGUGCUCGGGCCCGUUAGUGCUACAACGUAGCCCUAGUUAUUAUUAUUAUUAUUAUUAUUAUUAUUAUUUCCCUUUGGGGGGCUUUUUCAGGGUCUAGACAUGCUCAAAAAGUUAUGAAACUUUGCAGGAAAUUCAAGGUCUGCGGAUAUUUUAGUAUUCUGGAGUAAUUGGAAUUGGGCGUGGCAAAAUGGCUCUACAGCGCCCCCUGGAACCAGCCCCUAGGUUUCCACAUAACGGAUUUUCAUCAAAAUCUGGAUAUAGGUGUAUCGUGACCAGUCAUGAAAAAAAGUCUCAUGGAGCAUUAUGAAAAACGCAACAGGAAGUCCGCCAUUUUGCUUUUAGUGGCCAUUUUGGCAAUAUCCCACAUUUUUACUUUUACGUACUUGUCCCAGGGCUUUCAUCAGAUCAACUUCAAAUUCAGAUGAGUGUCAUCACAACAAGAUGGAGAUAAAAAAUGAUUGAGGGAUUUUUUUUUUAUCACACCGUGUGACCGUGGCAUGGCGUUAAAAAUUGGUUACACGCCAUCAAAACACGGGCAUCUGUAUCUCGGACAUACAUGUUCCAAUCAAGUCCAAACUAGACAUGUAAGACAAUAGUCCCCGCCUGAUGACAUCUAUGCAUAAAUGAUGACUUAAAACCGCAGUGCCCCCUGGUGGCAACAGGAAAUGUCUUGUUUUUUGCUUGUCUUACACUUGGAUGAAUUUCUCCUCAUCCACUGACCUCAACCAUGUCAAACUGUAUCAAAUGGGUCCCAAGACAUUGACAAUGAAGACAUAAGAUUACCGUGACUUUUCGUCAAACGCCAUAUGAAUGGCGUGGCAUUAAAGUUCAUCAACUCGCCGUGAAACACGAAAUUGCUGUAACUUCAGUGUUCAUGAUUCUAUCUCUCUCAAACUACAUGUGUGUAACAACAGCCCCCCCCUGAAGAUAUUCAUAUGGUUUUAAGAAAUGGGCGUGGCAAAAAAACUGACCAGCGCCCCCUAUAGGGCAACCCCGGCACUACGAUGGCCGACAUUUAUACAAAUCUAUCGGGACAUGUGUCGUUUCAUAACAAACAAAAAAAUAUCUUGGAUAGGUAUGCUUGACCAAACAGGGAGGCCGCCAUUUUGGAUUAAGUGGCCAUUUUUUUUCCAUAUUCCACAUUUUUACUUGAUGCACUUGUCCCAGGGCUUUCAUCAGAUUAACUUCAAAUUAAGAUCAGUGCCAUCACAACAAGAUGGAGAUAAAAAGUGAUUAAGAGAUUGACCUUUCGUCACACCGUGUGACCGUGGCGUGGCGUCUUGAGUUUGAUUAAACGCCAUCAAAACACGAGGUUCUGUAUCUCGGACAUACAUUGUCCAAUCGAGUCCAAACUAGACAUGUAAGACAAGGGUGCCAUCCUGAUGACAUCUACACAGAAAUUAUGACUUGAAAUUACAGCGCCCCCUGGUGGCUACAGGAAGUGACAUGUUUUAUACUUUGAUGAACUGCUCCUGGCUGAUUUACAAUAUACAGCUCAAAUCAGAUCAGUCAAGUCAUUAGAUCAUGGUCAGAAUUGUGACGUUUCCUCAAACCGUGUAAACAUUGAUGUGCGGCGAAGGAUUUUCCUUCGCCAAAGGACACGAUGUUAUCAUAACUCCACUGUGCAUUGUCCUAUCACUACAAAACUUCUGUCACAUGGUCAGAGUCCAAGCCUGAACAGCUCUAUGUGUCAAUAUUUCCUCAGUGUCAUAGCGCCACCUACUGAUUCGCCAGGAAACAGGAAGUACUUUGUUAAUCCACUCUGCAUUAUCCAACCGGCUCCAAACUACUGACCUAUGAUCACAAUCCUGAAUAGAACAGCUCCAUAUAUGAAUAUUAGUUCAGGAUCAUAGCGCCACCUAUUGAUCAGUGUGAAAAUUAAGUUGCGGAAACAUUGUCCAA